rnacentral:tRNA from 1 species
GCGGGUAUCGUAUAAUGGCUAUUAUCCCAGGUUUCCAACCUGAUGAUGGGGGUUCGAUUCCCCCUACCCGCU